rnacentral:rRNA from 1 species
GACGAACGCUGGCGGCGUGCUUAACACAUGCAAGUCGAACGAUGAAGCUGGAGCUUGCUCCGGUGGAUUAGUGGCGAACGGGUGAGUAACACGUGAGCAAUCUGCACUUGACUCUGGGAGAACUGCGGGACACUGUAGCUAAUAUCGGAUACGAGAUUUGGAGGCAUCUCCGGAUCUGGAAAGAAUUUCGGUCAAGGAGGAGCUCGCGGCCUAUCAGCUUGUUGGUGAGGUAAUGGCUCACCAAGGCGACGACGGGUAGCCGGCCUGGGAGGGGGGCCGGCCACACUGGGACUGAGACACGGCCCAGACUCCUACGGGAGGCAGCAGUGGGGAAUAUUGCACAAUGGGCGAAAGCCUGAUGCAGCAGCGCCGCGUGAGGGAUGAAGGCCUUCGGGUUGUAAACCUCUUUUAGUAGGGAAGAAGCGAAAGUGACGGUACCUCCAGAAGAAGCCCCGGCUAACUACGUGCCAGCCGCCGCCGUAA